GCCGGUGUAGCUCAGUUGGCAGAGCGGCUGACUUGUAAUCAGCAGGUCGGGGGUUCGAACCCUCUCACCGGCUCCA
rnacentral:tRNA from 1 species